rnacentral:rRNA from 1 species
UACGUAGGUGACAAGCGUUGUCCGGAUUUACUGGGCGUAAAGAGCGCGCAGGCGGUCGAUCAAGUCGAGUGUGAAAGCCCCCGGCUCAACUGGGGAGGGUCAUUCGAUACUGAUCGACUCGAAGGCAGGAGAGGGUAGUGGAAUUCCCGGUGUAGUGGUGAAAUGCGUAGAUAUCGGGAGGAACACCAGUGGCGAAGGCGGUUCUCUGGGACGGUACUGACGCUGAGACGCGAAAGCGUGGGGAGCAAACAGG